rnacentral:misc_RNA from 1 species
AAAAUAAUCCUACCCUUUGUGAAUUUUGUUUGUUUGAAUAAUUUUUUUUUUUUAAAAAAUUAUUGGAGUCUUUCCCUUUAGAGUUUGCUUUUGAGUUUGUAAAAGAAUUCGAAAAUAUCUAAAGGGGAUGGUCAAUAAUUUUUUUUGAAAAAAGACAUUUUUUAAAAUUAAACUUUUUGUAUUCAUUUGUCUAAAAAUUAUUUUUAUAAUAUAAAAACAACUUUUGACAAUGGAUCUCUUGGUUCUCGCAACGAUGAAGAACGCAGCAAAAUGCGAUAAGUAGUGUGAAUUGCAGAAUACGUGAAUCAUCGAAUCUUUGAACGCAUAUUGCACUUUUUUAGUUUACUAAAAAAGUAUGUCUGUUUGAGUAUCAGUAAAAUAUUCUCAUAAAAAUCAUUGUGUAUUUUUAUGGUUAUGAGUGUUUUACAACGAUACAAGUUGUUUCACUUUAAAUUUUUUUUUAAUAUUGAAAUUUUUCUAAUUUUAAUAAUUAAAAUUGGAUAAAAUUUUCCCGUCAAAAGGAAUAACCUAAACAAUUUUAAACGAUUAAUUUUAGCAAAAUUUUCGUAAAAAAAGGAAAAUUUUUAUUAAAAUAACUUGAUCUCAAAUCAGAUAAGAGUACCCGCUGAACUUAAGCAUAUCAAUAAGCGGAGGAAAAGAAACUAACAAGGAUUCCCUUAGUAACGGCGAGUGAAGCGGGAAGAGCUCAAAUUUGAAAUCUUCAAGGUUUUACCUUGACGAAUUGUAGUUUAAAGAAGUGUUUUCUGCUGAAGUUUUGGUAAAAGUUCUUUGGAAUAGGACAUCAUAGAGGGUGAGAAUCCCGUAUUUGACCAUUAUUUUCAGCUUUGUGAUACACUUUCAAAGAGUCGGAUUGUUUGGGAAUGCAGUCCAAAAUGGGUGGUAAAUUUCAUCUAAAGCUAAAUAUUGGCGAGAGACCGAUAGCGAACAAGUACCGUGAGGGAAAGAUGAAAAGAACUUUGAAAAGAGAGUUAAACAGUACGUGAAAUUGUCAAAAGGGAAGCGUUUGACACCAGUGUUGUUUUCUCGAAAAUCAAUUAAAAUGGCUCGAUUUUGUAUUGCUGAGACCUUAAAAGCUCACUGUACAUUUUUCGUGUCUUUUUUAAUGCACGUUUUCGUUUAACAAGUCAACAUCAGUUCUUUUGUUGUAAAAGGGUCAUUGGAAGGUGGCUUUCUUUUCGGAGAAAGUGUUUAUAGCCUUUGGCCUCUGCAAUCGAAGAGACUGAGGUCUGCAGCGUAGACUCUUCGGGGUUAGAUACAUUUGUGCUAAGUUAUAGCUUUUUAUAGACAACUUGUUGACUAUAAUUAGUCUUGUAGCUUACUCGCUAUGCUAUUUUACCUACGCUUAGGAUG